rnacentral:lncRNA from 1 species
AGCAUUCCAAUGGCUCUUUCUCAGCUUUCUGGGACCGAGAGGCACCUGUGGAAGUGGCAGGAGAAGCUUUAUAGAGCUGAUUCCAGCUUCCUCAUCUCUGGAUCACUACUCUGUGGUGUGCUCUCUGGCUCAGCGUUUCUAAGUGGGAUCAGAAUUCCUGGUAGGGCCACUGUCAUAAGGAAGACUGCAAGAAUGAAGAAAGGUCUGAUUGAUCACAAGGUCCUAUCAAAUGUCAAAGCUGGCCCUGGCUGA